rnacentral:lncRNA from 1 species
GAGAGUCCCAGUACAAGCCCUGAGAAACACUGAGCUCUAUAGAAAGCCCAGCAGCUUAUGAAUCAUAAGCGAGAGUUAAUCGUCAGCUUGGGCUUAGAAUAAUGAUGUCCUUGGUAGUGGCGCAGUAGAAGAAUCAAUACAUUCAGAUGCAACAAAACAGUUUGGAAAAAUAAAUGUAUUCUAAGCACUGACUUGAGGCUGACACAUACAGUAGACAAGACUUCUGUCAGUAAACUCUACAACAAUUUUAUAGCCUGCCCCUUCCUUUCAUUUCUACAGUUUGGCAGUGCUUGCAGAGAAGGCUGUGCUGCCCAGUUUCCCUUGCCUGAGCACUCUUUUUGACUGUAGCAUGCUGUAGGAAGUCAAACAUGGAUCUGAAUACUCAUGGGCUUGGAAGACGACUCUGAAGAGCCUUCUUACCUCUGGGCUGUAAAUUUUCAUCUUACCCAGGAUAACACUCCUCAAUGGUACUCAGGUUCAAUUAAUAACAAGCUGUUAUCUACUAGAGAGUUUCUACAGGUGAGAAGAUUAAAUGUCUGAUUGGUGAUAGUGCACUUGGCUGGGAGAGAUCUUCCGGAUUACUUUUUUGAAAGAACAUAUUGAGCUUCCCAUGGGGCAGCUUAGGAGAAUGAUUCAUAUCCUAAUUUUUUCUCCUUUUGACUGUUCUGGAUUCUAAGGUAUGAUAUGAAGAGAUCAAUUCAGACAAGCAACUACAGGAUUGAGGAAUGCCCUUCUUAAAGUGAACCCAUGCAAUGUUUCGCUAAAGAAAGUGUGAAAGGGGCUUUACUCACAUUUGCUGAAGUCAAGGGAAAAACUCCUUCUUGUGUCUCUGAGUAAGAAAUUUAACAUAGAAGACACAGAAACAUCAGGAUCCAAAUCAGCUUAUUGCAACACAAAGUGUAGCUAUGGUGAGCAUCUAAACCUGGAGCACAAAGAAUAUUCAGAAGGCCCAGACAAAAGUUUAUAUUCACAACACUUCACAUCUUCAAAGAGUUCUGGAUCCAGUAUUUAUGUAAGAAAUACAAGAUUGUGGGAGAGGAAAGAAAAAGCAUUGAUUUUUUUUUUCUUUUUGGAGAUUUUUAAAGGUUCUUUUCAUCUCUGACCAGCCUAAGGAACUUGCAGAAGAUUGUUCCUAAAUUAUGGGAACAGAAGUCAAUAUCAAUAAUUUUACAGUAGUCACAUUUCUCUGAUUAACA